rnacentral:misc_RNA from 1 species
AAAAUUCAUUGCUUUGACAGGGAACAUCAUGGCUAGAUGAAGUAACUGCCUCAUCAGCCAUCAACUUUGCUUGACAUGCAGCAUUUGAUGCCACAUUGGCGGCAGCAGCCGCAGCCUUUGCGACAGCAGCAGCUGCUGCUAUUGCAAUAGCUGCAGAAGCUAGUUUAGCUUCAACGUCUGGUACUAAUUCUGAAUUCUUCUGCCUGUCCAAUUGACUCCACACUUCUGCACUGUGUUUAACAGCUUCAGAUGCAAACAAUGCAGCAUCCUCAGCCAGUUGCUUAGCCUCCCUAACCUUACCGAGUGUUUCAUCUGAAAACAUGGCUCUCCCUCUCAAAUCUUGACCUGCACUCUUUGCGUGAGUUGUCG